CCUACGGGCGGCAGCAGUGAGGAAUAUUGGUCAAUGGGCGAGAGCCUGAACCAGCCAAGUCGCGUGAGGGAGUACUGCCCUAUGGGUUGUAAACCUCUUUUGUCGGGGAGCAAAAGCCGGACGUGUCCGGCUGUGAGAGUACCCGAAGAAAAAGCAUCGGCGAACUCCUGGCCAGCAGCCGCGGGAAUACGGAGGAUGCGAGCGUUAUCCGGAUUUAUUGGGUUUAAAGGGUGCGCAGGCGGAUUUUUAAGUCCGCGGUAAAAUCGUGGGGCUCAACCCCAUCCAGCCGUUGAAACUGGGGAUCUAGAGUGUGCGAGAGGCAGGCGGAAUGCGUGGUGUAGCGGUGAAAUGCAUAGAUAUCACGCAGAACCCCGAUUGCGAAGGCAGCAUACCGGUGCACAACUGACGCUGAGGCACGAAAGCGUGGGUAUCGAACAGGAUUAGAUACCCUUGUAGUC
rnacentral:rRNA from 1 species